GGGCCCGCACAAGCGGUGGAGCAUGUGGUUUAAUUCGAUGAUACGCGAGGAACCUUACCAGGGCUUAAAUGUAGUAUGACCGGUCUAGAAAUAGGCCUUCUCUUCGGAGCAGAUUACAAGGUGCUGCAUGGUUGUCGUCAGCUCGUGCCGUGAGGUGUUAGGUUAAGUCCUGCAACGAGCGCAACCCCUAUUCUUAGUUGCCAGCGGUUCGGCCGGGGACUCUAAGAAGACUGCCAGCGCAAGCUGAGAGGAAGUGGGGAUGACGUCAAAUCAUCAUGCCCCUUACAUCCUGGGCUACACACGUACUACAAUGCUACGGACAAAGGGGCAGCAAGUUCGCGAGGACAAGCAAAUCCCAUAAACCGUGGCUCAG
rnacentral:rRNA from 1 species